rnacentral:rRNA from 1 species
AGUGAACGCUGGCGGUAGGCCUAACACAUGCAAGUCGAACGGCAGCACAGUAAGAGCUUGCUCUUACGGGUGGCGAGUGGCGGACGGGUGAGGAAUACAUCGGAAUCUACUUUUUCGUGGGGGAUAACGUAGGGAAACUUACGCUAAUACCGCAUACGACCUACGGGUGAAAGCAGGGGAUCUUCGGACCUUGCGCGAUUGAAUGAGCCGAUGUCGGAUUAGCUAGUUGGCGGGGUAAAGGCCCACCAAGGCGACGAUCCGUAGCUGGUCUGAGAGAAUGAUCAGCCACACUGGAACUGAGACACGGUCCAGACUCCUACGGGAGGCAGCAGUGGGGAAUAGUGGACAAUGGGCGCAAGCCUGAUCCAGCCAUACCGCGUGGGUGAAGAAGGCCUUCGGGUUGUAAAGCCCUUUUGUUGGGAAAGAAAAGCAGCAGGUUAAUACCCCGCUGUUCUGACGGUACCCAAAGAAUAAGCACCGGCUAACUUCGUG